rnacentral:rRNA from 1 species
CGGCGCGCCUAACACAUGCAAGUCGAACGAGAAAGCCGCAAGGCAAGUAAAGUGGCGUACNGGUGAGUAACACGUGGAUUAUCUACCUUCUAGUGGGGAAUACCGUUGGGAAACCGACGACAAUACCGCAUAAGCUCGAGAGAGGAAAGCAGCAAUGCGCUGGAAGAGGAGUCCGCGGUCGAUUAGUUAGUUGGCGGGGUAAAGGCCCACCAAGACUGUGAUCGAUAGCCGGCCUGAGAGGGCACACGGCCACACUGGCACUGAAACACGGGCCAGACUCCUACGGGAGGCAGCAGUGGGGAAUAUUGCACAAUGGGGGAAACCCUGAUGCAGCGACGCCGCGUGAGCGAUGAAGCCCUUCGGGGUGUAAAGCUCUUUCGGCAGGGACGAUUAUGACGGUACCUGCAGAAGCAGCUGCGGCUAANUACGUGCCAGCAGCCGCGGUAAUACGUAGGCAGCAAGCGUUGUUCGGAAUUACUGGGCGUAAAGGGUGCGUAGGCGGCUUUUUAAGUUUGUUGUGAAAUCUCCCGGCUCAACCGGGAGGGUGCGGCGAAUACUGAGAAGCUAGAGUGUGGGAGAGGAAAGUGGAAUUCCUGGUGUAGCGGUGAAAUGCGUAGAUAUCAGGAGGAACACCGGUGGUGUAAACGGCUUUCUGGACCAUAACUGACGCUGAGGCACGAAAGCGUGGGUAGCAAACAGGAUUAGAUACCCUGGUAGUCCACGCCCUAAACGAUGCAUAU